rnacentral:rRNA from 1 species
AGACGUAGGAUGCAAGCGUUGUCCGGAUUUAUUGGGCGUAAAGAGUUCGUAGGCUGUUUGUUAAGUCUGAUGUUAAAGACCGGGGCUCAACCUCGGAAAUGCAUUGGAUACUGGCAGACUGGAGUGCAGUAGAGGCUAGUGGAAUUCCCAGUGUAGCGGUGAAAUGCGUAGAUAUUGGGAAGAACACCGGUGGCGUAGGCGACUAGCUGGGCUGUAACUGACGCUGAGGAACGAAAGCCAGGGGAGC